rnacentral:rRNA from 1 species
UACGGAGGGGGCUAGCGUUGUUCGGAAUUACUGGGCGUUAAAGAGCUCGUAGGUGGUUUGUCGCGUUGUUCGUGAAAUCUCACGGCUUUAACUGUGAGCGUGCGGGCGAUACGGGCAGACUAGAGUACUGCAGGGGAGACUGGAAUUCCUGGGUGUAGCGGUGGAAUGCGCAGAUAUCAGGAGGAACACGGUGGCGAAGGCGGGGUCUCUGGCAGUAACUGACCGCUGAGGAGCGAAAGCGUGGG